rnacentral:misc_RNA from 1 species
AACCAUAGAAACCUGCGGAGUACCUGCGGAGGGAUCAUUAAUGUUGUCUUUGUCCACUUGUAGGCCAAGGGGUUUUUUACUCCUUGGCUUACAAGCACCCGUGCUUACCAUAAAGUCUAUAACCAUAUUUCUUUCUUUGUACAGAUGCUGCACGCUCUUGCUUAGACGGAAAUUGGUCAACGUUGACAAGCAUCGACUGCUUCUGUCGGUCGGUAUUGCCAAUGUUAAUCUGGCUUCAGU